UGGCGUGCUUAACACAUGCAAGUCGAACGGUGAUCUUGAGGUGCUUGCACCUUGGGUGAUCAGUGGCGAACGGGUGAGUAACACGUGAGUAACCUGCCCCAGACUCUGGAAUAACCCCGGGAAACCGGAGCUAAUACCGGAUAUGAAGUAGAGCUGCAUGGCUACUACUUGGAAAGUUUUUCGGUCUGGGAUGGACUCGCGGCCUAUCAGCUUGUUGGUGAGGUAAUGGCUCACCAAGGCGACGACGGGUAGCCGGCCUGAGAGGGCGACCGGCCACACUGGGACUGAGACACGGCCCAGACUCCUACGGGAGGCAGCAGUGGGGAAUAUUGCACAAUGGGCGAAAGCCUGAUGCAGCGACGCCGCGUGAGGGAUGACGGCCUUCGGGUUGUAAACCUCUUUCAGCAGGGAAGAAGCGCAAGUGACGGUACCUGCAGAAGAAGCACCGGCUAACUACGUGCCAGCAGCCGCGGUAAUACGUAGGGUGCGAGCGUUGUCCGGAAUUAUUGGGCGUAAAGAGCUUGUAGGCGGUUUGUCGCGUCUGCUGUGAAAAUCCGGGGCUCAACCCCGGACUUGCAGUGGGGUACGGGGCAGACUAGA
rnacentral:rRNA from 1 species